CUGUUCCAGUUAUCAUAAAUCCAGUUUUCUUACAUGUUAUUAAAACGAUGUUCAAGAUAUCAUAAAUCCAGUUUACUUACAUGUUAUUAAAACGUUGUUCAAGUUAUCAUAAAUCCAGUUUCCUCCUGAACAGCGCCACCAUUCUGGAAACAACAACCAGAGAACACGGUCCAGGCUAUCUUAGCUACACAAACGUUGAUUGGUUGUUCUGUCGGGGGAUAUCCUGCUCCUAGAGUCACCUGGAAAAUAAAAAAUCCUUCAGGCUCCUUCACUCCAGUCUCCAGGAGCUACAAGAUGAAAGUGUUGGACAACGGAACCCUGGUGAUUAACGACGUUAAGGAGACAGAUUCAGGAACGUACCUGUGUCAGGCUGAUAACGGAGUGGGGGGAAAAGUUGGAGAAAGCUGUCCGUCUGUCUGUCCACGUGGCUCCAUCUAUUGUGAAACAUAGCGAAAUUGUUACUGUGCAGCGUGGAUACACGAAGAGUGUACGGUGUGUUGUAAGAGGAGACCGCCCUCUAGUGGUUAGAUGGCUAAAAAACAAUCAUGUGUUGGAACCUUGGUCGAACCGGUAAGAUUAUUUAACUUUUCUUGUUUGACGUAAAUAUCAAAAUAAUUUAGUAAUAUG